rnacentral:rRNA from 1 species
AUACGUAGGUGGCAAGCGUUGUCCGGAAUCACUGGGCGUAAAGCGCGCGCAGGCGGCGAUCUACGUCUGGGGUGAAAGCCCGGGGCUCAACCUCGGGACUGCCUUGGAUACGGGAUCGCUUGAGAAUCGGAGAGGUAAGGGGAAUUCCACGUGUAGCGGUGAAAUGCGUAGAUAUGUGGAGGAACACCAGUGGCGAAGGCGCCUUACUGGCCGAUUUCUGACGCUGAGGCGCGAAAGCGUGGGGAGCAAACAGGAUUAGAUACCCUGGUAGUCCACGCCGUAAACGAUGAGUGCUAGGUGUUGGGGGGUACCACCCUCAGUGCCGAAGCUAACGCAUUAAGCACUCCGCCUGGGGAGUACGGUCGCAAGACUGAA